AUCCCUUUCUCGGCCUUUUGGCUAAGAUCAAGUUUAGUAUCUGUUCUUAUCAGUUUAAUAUCUGAUACGUGGGCCAUUGGCUCACAUGAUAUUAAAAUUAUUUUUAAAGGGGGAGAGUCCAUCACAGUAGCUAGCUACUGGGGCUCUUGAGCGUCGCCCAGGCGUUGCACUAUAGCUCGGGCCUGGCGCACUUCAC
rnacentral:snRNA from 1 species